AGCGCACAGGAACUCGCUCGCAGGCCAAGCUCAGAAACUUUCUUUCCACAAUCCACAGCUGCGCCACAGCUGAUCAUACCUGCAUCAGAGAAGGACGAAGGUUAAUUCCGUUCCAAGAGCCAGAGAAAUUCGCUCUAUUCGGCCCAGCGCUGACCUCCGUUGCAACCACGAGACCCACCGUAGCACCGCUUAAGAGGCCCGGACUUCACUCAUUUGUUUUCCAGGAAUCCGCCCGUUCGAGCACGCAUCCUGAGGUUUAACAAGAGAUUCACUGGACUUCCAGAAAAUCUGCGCCCCACGCGCAAGCAACACCGCGGAGGUCACACAUCAAUUGCAAGGAAACUGCGGGGCAUCUCACUCAGUGUGCGGUACAAUAAAAGGAAGGAGGCUGUGACCUGAGCUCAUUCACUCUCUACAGACUACCGGAAGUCUGCCUGUCUCUCACCUCACAUUUUCAGAGUACAUCCCAUUCUGUCGACUCAAAGCAGUUCUGCAGUGCCUGCUUCGCCUCCUGAAUCAACCAGAGGACAAUUUUUUGAUCAGAUCUGCCUGGUGGCGGGAGGACAGUAGGAUUUGCAAACAGGAGGUCCAGUGUUUAAUGGUCUGUAUUGGGGCAGUAAACACACUGCUAUAAGUUGGGUAGUAAUGAGUCCAGUUUUACAAUAAAAUAAUAAAAUCCUCAGCGACAACCAUGAUGA